AUAAUGGAAAAAUCCAAACAAGGAAAAAAAAAAAAACAAAUUGGAUGUCGCAAAGAAAUACAACUCAGCUAAGUUUGCCAGAACAAUUCUGUUCUAUGUAGGAAUGCACCUCCUAACAACAAAAUCUGAAGACCCCCCACCAUAGCCACACACCCACAGGCACAGACACAGAGCUGAAUGUGCACUGAAGGAAAAUAAGACCAGAACUUGAUGCAGAACCUCACUAACCCCACCGACACUGACCUGCCAGGCCCUGACCUCCGCCUGGAAGCCUAGCCACUGGGGCUAAGACUCUUGAAGGACUCUUGAAAGAAGUUGGGGCCUCUGUAUGCAGGAGCUUCACCCAGAAGAAAACUUAGACAAGUCUUCACUGGUUUUGUUGCUUUAAGCAUUUUUUGGAGCUUGUUUCUGUUGAAUACUUUCUCCUCAUGAAGAGUUGUAAGUUCACUUCCUAAGUUUGUAUUAACUGUUUUCUUCUCUCCCUUGUCUGCAAGAUCUUCAGCUUUAAACAUCCGUUCCUCAUGUUGAAAUGAAAACGGUAUUUUAAAAAGCC
rnacentral:lncRNA from 1 species